ensembl:lncRNA
AAAGGUCAAAGUUCAGACCAUGUCAGUGUGUUGGAGGACGGUUCUUUUACUGCGUCUUCAGAUUGGAUUUUUAACAAUCCAGGCAAAUAUGAGAUCCACGUCCACGUCUCCAACCCCCUUUCCACACUCUCCUCCUCCCUCCACUUGUCCGUCUCUCAGUCCUCUCCAUUCAGCUUAAUGAUGUUUUUGCUUCACGGCCCCCCGGGUGUCCCCUCCUGCAUCCCCUCAGACUCUAAAAGUGGGAUUAUGAAGGCAGCAUAUCAGGGAAACACUGACACACUGCAGGCAAAUGUGAAGGAAGGUCUGGCUACAGAGUUCUGCAGGUGCUUUACUCACAAGGAAAAACAGGAAAAUGAGGAGAGUGAAGAGACAGUUUUUCUUUGCAAAUCAGACUGUCUGAACAGCUCUGUGGACUGGACUUUUGAAACAGACGGAGUUUACACAGUGUCAGUGAACGCCUCC